UACGUAGGGCGCAAGCGUUGUCCGGAAUUAUUGGGCGUAAAGAGCUCGUAGGCGGUUUGUCGCGUCUGUCGUGAAAGCUUGGGGCUUAACCCCAAGUCUGCGGUGGAUACGGGCAGACUAGAGGCAGGUAGGGGAGAACGGAAUUCCCGGUGUAGCGGUGAAAUGCGCAGAUAUCGGGAGGAACACCGGUGGCGAAGGCGGUUCUCUGGGCCGAUACUGACGCUGAGGAGCGAAAGCGUGGGGAGCGAACAGG
rnacentral:rRNA from 1 species